rnacentral:rRNA from 1 species
AACGAACGCUGGCGGCAGGCUUAACACAUGCAAGUCGAACGAGAUCUUCGGAUCUAGUGGCAGACGGGUGAGGAACACGUGGGAGCAUCCCUUUUAGUUCGGAACAACGUUGGGAAACUAACGCUAAUACCGGAUACGUCCUUCGGGAGAAAGAUUUAUCGCUGAAAGAUUGGCCCGCGUCUGAUUAGCUAGUUGGUGAGGUAAUGGCUCACCAAGGCUACGAUCAGUAGCUGAUCUGAGAGGAUGAUCAGCCACAUUGGGACUGAGACACGGCCCAAACUCCUACGGGAGGCAGCAGUGGGGAAUAUUGGACAAUGGGCGCAAGCCUGAUCCAGCCAUGCCGCGUGAGUGAUGACGGCCUUCGGGUUGUAAAGCUCUUUCGUCCGGGAAGAUAAUGACUGUACCGGAAGAAUAAGCCCCGGCAAACUUCGUGCCAGCAGCCGCAGUAA